rnacentral:rRNA from 1 species
CUAGCUGUAAACGGUGCACGUUUGCUGUAAAAGGAAUCGACCCCUUUUGUGGCGUAGCUAACGCGUUAAACGUGCCGCCUGGGGAGUACGGUCGCAAGAUUAAAACUCAAAGAAAUUGACGGGGGCCUGCACAAGCGGUGGAGUAUGUGGCUCAAUUCGAUGCAACGCGAAGAACCUUACCUGGCCUUGACAUGUACGUAGUAGAAGGGUGAAAGCCUGACGAGAUAGCAAUAUCAGCGUACACAGGUGC